UAUUCCACUUGAGAGGUAUAGUAUGUCAAACUAUUUAUGUUUAUUCGAAAAGUUAGAAAGUUUUUCAUAUAGUUUCUCAAUAUCAAAACUAAAAAUUUAGAUGUUUAUUUUUAAUAAAAGAAAAAUAUUAAUAUUAUUUGCUUGGAAUGUCAGAAAAAUAUAUUGCAAUAUUUCGUUACUUUUCAAAAUAAACAUGAUUUGCACGAACAAGUCUCAUUCGCGAAGGUUAUUCGAUCUUAAAACAUCGAUAAACGAAGGCGUGGCUCGAUUGUUUGAAGUAGACAAAGUAAAGUAACACGAAUCGAAGUGAAUGGGAUGUUGGAUGUUGUAAUUUAAAACAAAAAAAUGUUUGCAAUUCGAGCAAAUCAAUCUGAUUUUCAUCGAGAAAAUGUAAAAGGACGAAAGAAAAACUAAUCGAAGAUUGGAAAAGAGAUUGGAUAUAACAGAAUGGUCAAACAAGUUUCCAGUUUUAAUCGGUUGAGUGUAUACCGUUCUAAACAAAAU
rnacentral:lncRNA from 1 species